rnacentral:tRNA from 1 species
GCCUCGAUAGCACAACUGGGAGUGCAGCAGAUUCUUAAUCUGAAGGUUCUGUGUUCGAGUCACAGUCGGGGCA